UGGGGAAUAUUGCACAAUGGGCGAAAGCCUGAUGCAGCAACGCCGCGUGAAGGAAGAAGGGUUUCGGCUCGUAAACUUCUAUCAACAGGGACGAAGGAAGUGACGGUACCUGAAUAAGAAGCCCCGGCUAACUACGUGCCAGCAGCCGCGGUAAUACGUAGGGGGCAAGCGUUAUCCGGAAUUACUGGGUGUAAAGGGUGAGUAGGCGGCAUGGUAAGCCAGAUGUGAAAGCCUUGGGCUUAACCCGAGGAUUGCAUUUGGAACUAUCAAGCUAGAGUACAGGAGAGGAAAGCGGAAUUCCUAGUGUAGCGGUGAAAUGCGUAGAUAUUAGGAAGAACACCAGUGGCGAAGGCGGCUUUCUGGACUGAAACUGACGCUGAGGCACGAAAGCGUGGGGAGCGAACAGG
rnacentral:rRNA from 2 species